UACAGCUGUCAACAGUGUGAGACGUUGU
rnacentral:sRNA from 1 species